UAAAGCUACAAAGAGCUAAUGGGGAAUGCCUUGGUACUGACAGCCGAUGAAGGACGUGUAAAGCUGCGAUAAGCUGCGGGGAACUGCUAAAAGGUCUUGAUCCGCAGAAAUCCGAAUGGGGAAACCCUAUCAAGUUAAAACUUGAUAACUCACAAGUGAAUACAUAGCUUGUGUAGAGGAAAGCCUGUGAACUGAAACAUCUUAGUAACAGGACGAAGAGAAAAUAACCCAAUGAUUCCGAGAGUAGCGGCGAGCGAAAUUGGAAGAGCCUAAAUUGUGUGUACGUGAUAGCCUGCAAGCGUUGUGCACAUGAGGUUGUGGGACUUGCAUCAUAUUUUGCAGAAUAUGGAUUGAGUUAGAAAAUUAUUUAUUAGUUAAAGUCAACUGGGAAGUUGCGCCAUAGAGAGUGAUAGCCUCGUAAACGACAAUAAAUAAUCUCAAGUAAGUAUCCCGAGUAAGGCGGGGCACGUGAAACCCUGUCUGAAUCCACCGGGACCAUCCGGUAAGGCUAAAUACUAGUCAGUGACCGAUAGUGAACGAGUACAGUGAUGGAAAGGCGAAAAGAACAGUGAGAAGCUGAGUGAAAUAGACCCUGAAACCGUUAGCUUACAACCAGUCAGAGCACAAUUAAUUGUGUGAUGGCGUGCCUGUUGAAGAAUGAGCCGGCGAGUUAUUUUUUGUUGCGAGGUUAAGGAGAUCAUAUCCGGAGCCACAGGGAAACCGAGUCUGAAUAGGGCGUUAAGUAACAGGAAAUAGACCCGAACCUUGGUGAUCUAACCUUGACCAGGAUGAAGCGUGGGUAACACUACGUGGAGGUCCGAACCAACCGAUGUUGAAAAAUCGGUGGAUGAGUUGAGGUUAGGGGUGAAAUGCCAAUCGAACCAAGAGCUAGCUGGUUCUCCCCGAAAUGCGUUUAGGCACAGCGUUGGAUUUAUCUUGCAGGAGGUAGAGCACUGGUUUUGUGCGGGCGUCGAAAUGAUGUACCAAACAAUGUCAAACUCCGAAUACCUGUAAUGUCAUUAUCCAGCAGUGAGGCUAUGAGUGAUAAGAUCCAUGGCCAAGAGGGAAACAGCCCAGAACGCCAGUUAAGGUCCCUAAUAUAUGCUAAGUGGUUAAGGAGGUAGAGUUACUGAGACAACCAGGAGGUUGGCUUAGAAGCAGCCAUCCCUUGAAAGAGUGCGUAAUAGCUCACUGGUCAAGUGACUCCGCGCCGAAAAUACACCGGGACUAAAGCAUAUAACCGAAGCUGCGUCAUAUAGUUUACUAUAUGGGUAGGGGAGCGUACUGUAGUAAGACGAAGCUAGAGUGAAAACACUAGUGGAUGAGGCAGUAGUGAGAAUGUCGGCAUAAGUAGCGAAAACAUUGGUGAGAAUCCAAUGCACCGAAAACCUAAGGUUUCCCACGGCAGGCUCGUCCGCGUGGGGUUAGUCGGAUCCUAAGCUCAGGCCAAACGGCGUAGGCGAUGGACAAUAGGUUGAUAUUCCUAUACUAUCUGAUAAUCGUUAUCAGAAGCGGAGGGACGCAAGAGGAUAAGCACGCAGUCGACUGGAAGAGACUGUAUAAGCGUGUAGCUAGGUUUGACAGGAAAAUCCGUCAAAUCGUUAAUGUGAGGCGUGAUGUGGAGAGUCUACGGACUCGAAGGUGUUGACUCCAAAUUGCCAAGAAAAUCUUCGCUCUCGAGAUUAUUGGGUAUCCGUACCGUAAACCGCCACAGGUAGGUUGGUAGAAAAUACUAAGGUGCGCGAGACAACUCUCGCUAAGGAACUCGGCAAAAUCACCUCGUAACUUCGGGAGAAGAGGUACCCUGGUAGCGUGAAGCGAUUUACUCGUGAAGCGUGAUAGGGUCGCAGUGAAUAGGCCCAAGCGACUGUUUACCAAAAACACAGGUCUCUGCUAAGUCGAUCAAGACGAUGUAUAGGGGCUGACGCCUGCCCGGUGUCGGAAGGUUACGCGGAAAUGUUAGAAGCAAUUCAAAGCAUCGAAGCUAAGCCCCGAUGAACGGCGGCCGUAACUAUAACGGUCCUAAGGUAGCGAAAUUCCUUGUCAGGUA
rnacentral:rRNA from 1 species